GGACCCCCUUAAUGAUUGCUCGUUCAUGGAAUAGAAACUGGCUUGAGGACAUCUUAAAAGAACCUCCAUCAGAGAACUUAGAAGUUCUUCCUUCACCGUAUCUCUCUCUUCCACUUAUGAGCAUUGUCAAAAUUGCUAGAGAAUGUGGGUGG